rnacentral:rRNA from 1 species
CAGGCUUGACAUAUAGAGGACCGCACUAGAGAUAGUGUUUCCCGCAAGGGCCUUAUAC